rnacentral:rRNA from 1 species
AUACGGAGGGUGCAAGCGUUACUCGGAAUCACUGGGCGUAAAGCGCGCGCAGGCGGCUUGAUAAGUUGGAUGUGAAAGCCUACGGCUCAACCGUAGAACUGCAUCCAAAACUGUCAAGCUAGAGUCUGUGAGGGGAAGAUGGAAUUAGUUGUGUAGGGGUAAAAUCCGUAGAGAUAACUAGGAAUACCAAAAGCGAAGGCGAUCUUCUGGAACAGUACUGACGCUGAGGCGCGAAAGCGUGGGGAGCAAACAGAAUUAGAAACCCGGGUAGUCC